rnacentral:rRNA from 1 species
ACGAAAAGUACUAAUCAAAUUAAAUAAAAAUAGGUGAAACAAAAGAAAUAAGCGAAGAAGAAAGCAAAUAGCGCUUCACGCUAAUUCCAAGUACCAACACAAAACAAAAUUCAAUGUUUGGUGAAGCAACUUGCUUAGUGGCGGACGGGUGAGUAACGCGUGAACAAUCUGCCCCGUACAAAGGGAUAGCCUCGGGAAACCGGGAUUAAAACCAUAUAACACUUAACUGCCGCAUGGUAGUGAAGUCAAAUCGAUUAAGAGGUAUGGGAUGAGUUCGCGUCUGAUUAGCUAGUUGGUGAGGUAAGGGCUCACCAAGGCGACGAUCAGUAGCCGGCCUGAGAGGGUGAACGGCCACACUGGAACUGAGACACGGUCCAGACUCCUACGGGAGGCAGCAGUGGGGAAUAUUGCACAAUGGAGGGAACUCUGAUGCAGCGACGCCGCGUGAGUGAAGAAAGGUCUUCGGAUCGUAAAACUCUGUCCUUGGUGAAGAAAAGGACGGUAGCCAAGGAGGAAGCCCCGGCUAACUACGUG